rnacentral:sRNA from 1 species
UAGGAAAGUCAUAAAUAUAUAAAUUAUAUUAUAUAAUUAAUAUAAUAAUAAAAUAAAUUAUAUAUUUUAUUUAUAAUAUUAUUUCUUUAUAAGAUAAAAUAUUAUCUGAUGAAUAAUUAGAUUGAAUAAUAUUUAUAAAGAAAUAUAUAUAAAAAGUCAUUAUAUAAAUUUAAUUAUAAUUUAAAUAAAUUUUAUAUAAAUUAAUAUAAUAUUAAUAAAGUAAUUAGUAUAAAUAAAUAAUAUGAAAAUAAAACUUAAUAAAUAUAUAAAUAUAGUCCAUAUAUAUAUAUUAAUAAAAAAAAGUAAUAUAUAUAUAUAUAUUGGAAUAGUUAUAUUAUUAUACAGAAAUAUGCUUAA